GGGCAGGUAGUUCAGUGGUGGAACGCUACACUGAUAAUGUAGAAGUCGAAGGUUCAAUCCCUUCCCUGCCCA
rnacentral:tRNA from 1 species